CACCUCCGCAGGCUGGUCGGCCCGAGGCUGGGCUGGGUGAGUAUCUCUUGGAAAGGCUCACCCUCGGGCAAUCUACUUGG
rnacentral:pre_miRNA from 1 species